ensembl:lncRNA
GAUAAAGUCACUUCUGUUAGCUGGGGUACACACCGAUAAGGUCACUUCUGUUAGCCGGGGUACACAACGAUAAGGUCACCUCCGUUAGCCGGGGUACACACCGAUAAGGUCACUUCCGUUAGCCGGGGUACACAACGAUAAGGUCACCUCCGUUAGCCGGGGUACACACCGAUAAGGUCACUUCUGUUAGCCGGGGUACACACCGAUAAGGUCACCUCCGUUAGCCGGGGUACACACCGAUAAGGUCACUUCUGUUAGCCAGGGUACACACCGAUAAGGUCACCUCCGUUAGCCGGGGUACACACCGAUAAGGUCACCUCCGUUAGCCGGGGUACACACCGAUAAGGUCACCUCCGUUAGCCGGGGUACACACCGAUAAGGUCACUUCCGUUAGUCAGUACAAAGUACAAUAUAUUGUAUUCAAGGUAAAAACAAUCAUGUCUACCAAUCUUCCAUAUAGCCAUUAAUCAGGUGUAAAGACAAUGAAACAGAUUAGUAAUGUCUGAUUCUGGGGAUUUAACUAUAUUGCAGAUGUAGAUUUUAGUCAUAUACAUUUGUUAGUUGUUAAGAAAUUCCCUUUUUUAAACACUCCUACAUUCAGUGGAUUUGAAGUGUGCUGCUAGUCCACAGUGGUCAUGUCUACAUGAGUUAACACUAGUCCAGUUUUGCAGUGAGGAAAUCCCACAUGGAAGUUAAGUUUAAGCAACCCAAGCCUAACUUUACAUAAAUGUGUCGGGGUGCAGUGGGUAGUUUAGCUUCUCCAGAGCUCUCCUGAGCUCUGUUUGGAGUUUUUCAUGUUCUCGCUAUGUUUGCAUAGGCUUCCCUUAGGUUCUCAGGGUUCCUUAUAUCAACAAAACAUACCAGUAGGUGACUUGGCUAUAAUAAACCGCUCUUACAUGUGAAUGAGUGUGAGAUUGUGUAUGUGCCUGGUGUCUUGCAGUGGACUGGUGUAACAUCCAGGGUGUGUUCCCAGCUUGUGCUUAGUAUUACAGGGAUGGGCUCCAGGUUCUACGCAUCCCUGACCAGUAUUAAAUGGUUCCUGAAGAUGAACGAAUGUAUGAUUCUUAUGCAUUUACAGUUCUGCACUAGUGACAUGUUAGUGAGUUCAAAAUCCCUGAAGGUUGUGAGUUCAAAUCCAGGGACUGGCAGAGAGCCAGUUGCUUUGGAUAUAAAUGUCAAAUGAAUAUACAUGACCUACAGUAUUACACAGACUGGUGACAAAUUAAAGGAAAAUACAACAUACAGCGUGUUAGUGAGGUUUUGGGACGGCCACGUCACACCAAAAUCUCCAAAAGGUAUUCCGUAGGGUCGAGAUAAAGUGACUGUG